CGUAGGCGGUCUUGUAAGUCUUGUGUGAAAUCCCUCGGCUUAACUGAGGAACUGCACGGGAUACUGCGAGACUUGGGAUCGGGAGAGGGAAGCGGAAUUCCGGGUGUAGCGGUGAAAUGCGUAGAUAUCCGGAGGAACACCGGUGGCGAAGGCGGCUUCCUGGACCGACACUGACGCUGAGGCGCGAAAGCUAGGGGAGCAAACG
rnacentral:rRNA from 1 species